GAGAACCUUAAGUUAUAUAAACUAAAAGCCUUCAAAGCUCUAAAAAAAGAUCGCCCUUUAGUUCUCG
rnacentral:tRNA from 1 species